rnacentral:rRNA from 1 species
CUAGCAGUAAACGGUGCAUGCUUGGUGUAUGAAUAUUGGACUAUUUAUGCGCCGGAGUUAACACGUUAAGCAUGCCGCCUGGGAAGUACGGUCGCAAGAUUAAAACUCAAAGAAAUUGACGGGGACCCGCACAAGCGGUGGAGUAUGUGGCUUAAUUCGAUGCAACGCGAUGAACCUUACCUGGAUUUGACAUUUAAAUUAUUGAUGUCAGAAAUGAUAUCACGCGUAGUAAUACGCAAUUUAAACAGGUGC